AAGAGUGUGUGAGGCGAUGGAUGAUCGUCCGUCUUCAGUUAGUAUUUAAGAUUAUUGUUAUUGUAUAACACAACUUUAUGUUAACUAAUAAUCAUAUUGUAUGCAUUCCACAGUGCCUUAGUGUCUCACUGUAAUACUGUGUAAUAUGUUUGAAUAAAUAAAAAAAAAUAAAAA